rnacentral:sRNA from 1 species
GCUGGGCAUGGUGGUGCGUGCCUGUAGUCCCAGCUACUUGGGAGGCUGAGGCAGGAGAAUUGAUUGAACCCGGGAGGCGGAGGUUGCAGUGAGCCGAGAUCGCGCCAUUGCACUCCAGCCUGGCACCUGGCGCCUGGCGACAGAGCAAGACUCUGUCUCAAAAAAAAAAAGUGAGGUGUGAUGCUUAAAUGACACCAGCUUAGGCCACUACUUUCUUCUUUUUUUCUUUUCAAGGCAGUCUUGCUCUGUUGCCCAGGCUGGAGUGCAGCAGCACAAUCUCAGCUCACUGCAACCUUCGCCUCCCGGGUUUAAAUGAUUCUCAUGCCUCAG